rnacentral:rRNA from 1 species
UCAAGUUAUUAAGGGUGCAGGGCGGAUGCCUUGGCACUAGGAGCCGAUGAAGGACGUGAUAAGCUGCGAUAAGCUUCGGGGAGUUGCACGUAAACUUUGAUCCGAAGAUUUCCGAAUGAGGAAACUCACUUAGAGUAAUGUCUAAGUAUCAUUAAGUGAAUACAUAGCUUAAUGAGGGGAACUCAGGGAACUGAAACAUCUAAGUACCUGAAGGAAGAGAAAGAAAUUCGAUUCCGUAAGUAGCGGCGAGCGAACGCGGAUUAGCCCAAACCAAUAAAGUUUUCUUUAUUGGGGUUGCGGACAUAUCAUAACGAAGAGGUAUCGUAAUUGAAGAGGUUUGGAAAGACCCACCACAGAAGGUAAUAGUCCUGUAUGUUAAACGAGAAGACUUCAGAUAUGAUCCAGAGUACCACGGGACACGUGAAACCCUGUGGGAAGCAGGAGGGACCACCCUCCAAGGCUAAAUACUACCUAGUGACCGAUAGCGUAUAGUACCGUGAGGGAAAGGUGAAAAGAACCCCGGGAGGGGAGUGAAAUAGAACCUGAAACCCUGCACUUACAAGCUGUGGAAGCACAUUUCUUGUGUGACCGCGUACUUUUUGUAGAACGGGCCAACGAGUUACGUUAAGUAGCAAGGUUAAGCACUUAAGGUGCGGAGCCGUAGCGAAAGCGAGUUUUAACUGAGCGUUCAGUUACUUGACGUAGACCCGAAACCGGGCGACCUACCCAUGAGCAGGAUGAAGCGAAAGUAAAAUUUCGUGGAGGUCCGAACCCACGAGCGUUGAAAAGCUCGGGGAUGACUUGUGGAUAGCGGUGAAAUUCCAAUCGAGCCCGGAGAUAGCUGGUUCUCCCCGAAAUAGCUUUAGGGCUAGCCUCAAGGUGAGAGAUACGGAGGUAGAGCACUGAAUGUCCUAGGGGGUAUUGCACCUACCGAAGACUAUCAAACUCCGAAUGCCGUCAUCUUAUACUUGGGAGUCAGACUGUGGGUGAUAAGAUUCAUAGUCGAAAGGGCAACAGCCCAGAUCGUCAGCUAAGGUCCCUAAAUGUAAGUUAAGUGGUAAAGGAUGUGGGAUUGCACAGACAACCAGGAUGUUGGCUUAGAAGCAGCCACUCAUUCAAAGAGUGCGUAAUAGCUCACUGGUCGAGUGAUCCUGCGCCGAAGAUUUCCGGGGCUAAAACUUACUACCGAAGCUACGGCAUCAGUAAUGAUGGGUAGGGGAGCUUCCCAUACGGGUUGAAGCGUGACCGUAAGGACAUGUGGACAGUAUGGGAGUGAGAAUGUUGGCAUGAGUAGCGAGAUGUGGGUGAGAAUCCCACAGGCCGUAAACCCAAGGUUUCCAGGGGAAGGUUCGUCCGCCCUGGGUUAGUCGGGACCUAAGCUGAGGCCGAAAGGCGUAGGUGAUGGACAACAGGUUGAUAUUCCUGUACUACCGAUAACCGUUUGAGAGAAGGGAUGACACAGUAGGAUAAGCUAAGCACACUGUUGGUUAUGUGUGCCCAAGCAUUGAGGCAGUCAAAGUAGGCAAAUCCGCUUUGAUAAUGCUGGGAUGUGAUGGGGAGCGAAAUUUAGUAGCGAAGUAGCUGAUUUCACACUGUCAAGAAAAGUCUCUAUCGAGGUUAAAGGUACCCGUACCGCAAACCGACACAGGUGGGUGAGGAGAGUAUCCUAAGGCCAGCGAGAGAACUGUUGUUAAGGAACUCGGCAAAAUGACCCCGUAACUUAGGGAUAAGGGGUGCCACCAUCAGGUGGCCGCAGAGAAUAGGCCCAAGCGACUGUUUACCAAAAACAUAGGUUUCUGCUAAGUCGCAAGACGAUGUAUAGGAGCUGACGCCUGCCCGGUGCUGGAAGGUUAAGGGGAUCUGUUAGAGCAAUCGAAGCAGUGAACUUAAGCCCCAGUAAACGGCGGCCGUAACUAUAACGGUCCUAAGGUAGCGAAAUUCCUUGUCGGGUAAGUUCCGACCCGCACGAAAGGCGUAACGAUUUGGGCACUGUCUCAACAACAGACUCGGUGAAAUUGUAAUUCCGGUGAAGAUGCCGGAUACCUGCGACAGGACGGAAAGACCCCAUGGAGCUUUACUGUAGCUUGACAUUGGGUCUUGGUACUACAUGUACAGGAUAGGUGGGAGGCUUUGAAACCAGGACGCCAGUUUUGGCGGAGCCAUCCUUGGGAUACCACCCUUGUAGUACUGGGACUCUAACCAUAGGCCAUGAAUCUGGUCUUGGGACACUGUCAGGUGGGCAGUUUGACUGGGGCGGUCGCCUCCCAAAAGGUAACGGAGGCGCUCAAAGGUUCUCUCAGUACGGUCGGAAAUCGUACGUAGAGUGUAAAGGCAAAAGAGAGCUUGAUUGCAAGACAUACAGGUCGAGCAAGGAUGAAAAUCGGACUUAGUGAUCCGGUGGUUCUGCGUGGAAGGGCCAUCGCUCAACGGAUAAAAGCUACCCUGGGGAUAACAGGCUUAUCUCCCCCAAGAGUCCACAUCGACGGGGAGGUUUGGCACCUCGAUGUCGGCUCAUCACAUCCUGGGGCUGUAGUAGGUCCCAAGGGUUGGGCUGUUCGCCCAUUAAAGUGGUACGCGAGCUGGGUUCAGAACGUCGUGAGACAGUUCGGUCCCUAUCCGUCGCAGGCGUAGGAAAUUUGAGAAGACCUGUCCUUAGUACGAGAGGACCGGGAUGGACGUACCUCUGGUGUACCAGUUGUUCUGCCAAGGGCAUGGCUGGGUAGCUAUGUACGGAAUGGAUAAGCGCUGAAAGCAUCUAAGCGCGAAGCCAACUUCAAGAUAAGAUUUCCCACCGCAAGGGUAAGACCCCAGAAAGACUAUCUGGUUGAUAGGUCGAAGGUGUAAGUGCAGCAAUGUAUUUAGCUUAUCGAUACUAAUAGGUCGAGGACUUGACCAA